rnacentral:rRNA from 1 species
CACGUAGGGCGCAAGCGUUGUCCGGAAUUAUUGGGCGUAAAGAGCUCGUAGGCGGUCUGUUGCGUCCGCUGUGAAAACUCGGGGCUUAACCCCGAGCCUGCAGUGGAUACGGGCAGACUAGAGGUAGGUAGGGGAGAAUGGAAUUCCCGGUGUAGCGGUGAAAUGCGCAGAUAUCGGGAGGAACACCAAUAGCGAAGGCAGCUCGCUGGGACGUUACUGACACUGAGGCGCGAAAGCGUGGGGAGCGAACAGG